GGUUCAAUGGUCUAGUGGUUAUGAUUUCUGUCUUACAGCUGUGAGCACACAGAAGGUCCCCAGUUCGAUCCUGGGUUGAACCA